UUGGUGAUGUCCAAGUGUACCCGGAGAAGGGGACUGUUGCAUUCUCUGCUGGUUUGCAUGGGUGGGCUUUCACCCUUACAAACUUCGCUAAGAUGUAUGCCUCCAAGUUUGGAGUUGAUGAGGCGAAGAUGAUGGAGAGGCUUUGGGGUGAGAACUUCUUUGACCCAGCCACAAAGAAAUGGACCUCCAAGAACACUGGGACAGCUACCUGCAAGAGAGGUUUUGUUCAGUUCUGCUACGAGCCAAUCAAGCAAAUCAUCGCCACCUGCAUGAAUGAUCAGAAGGAUAAGUUGUGGCCUAUGUUGAAGAAGCUGGGUGUGACCAUGAAGAAUGAUGAGAAGGACUUGAUGGGCAAGGCUCUCAUGAAGCGUGUGAUGCAAACUUGGCUGCCUGCCAGUCGUGCUCUGCUUGAGAUGAUGAUAUUUCACCUUCCCUCUCCCUCAAAGGCACAGAGGUAUCGUGUGGAGAACUUGUACGAGGGUCCCCUUGAUGAUAUAUAUGCUAAUGCUAUCAGAAACUGUGACCCUGAUGGUCCUCUUAUGCUGUAUGUCUCCAAGAUGAUUCCAGCAUCUGACAAGGGUAGGUUCUUUGCCUUUGGACGUGUUUUUGCCGGGAGGGUUGCAACUGGUAUGAAGGUCCGUAUCAUGGGUCCCAACUUUGUUCCUGGCCAGAAGAAGGAUCUGUAUGUGAAGAGUGUCCAGCGUACUGUUAUCUGGAUGGGAAAGAAGCAAGAGUCUGUUGAGGAUGUUCCCUGUGGUAACACUGUUGCUUUGGUUGGUUUGGAUCAGUUCAUCACCAAGAAUGCAACCCUGACAAAUGAGAAGGAAGUUGAUGCCUGCCCAAUCAGGGCAAUGAAGUUCUCUGUGUCCCCUGUUGUGCGUGUUGCCGUUCAGUGCAAGGUGGCAUCUGAUCUUCCUAAGCUUGUUGAGGGUUUGAAGCGGCUGGCGAAGUCUGACCCUAUGGUUCUCUGUAGCAUUGAAGAGUCUGGUGAGCAUAUCAUUGCUGGAGCUGGAGAGCUUCACCUUGAAAUCUGUUUGAAGGAUCUGCAGGAGGACUUCAUGGGUGGUGCUGAAAUUAUUGUUUCCCCUCCCGUCGUCUCCUUCCGUGAGACUGUUCUUGAGAAGUCCUGUCGCACUGUCAUGAGCAAGUCCCCCAACAAGCAUAACCGUCUUUACAUGGAAGCUCGCCCAUUGGAGGAGGGAUUGGCUGAGGCUAUUGAUGAUGGCCGCAUUGGCCCGCGUGAUGAUCCUAAGGUUCGCUCCAAGAUCCUGUCUGAGGAGUUUGGGUGGGACAAGGAUCUCGCCAAGAAGAUUUGGUGCUUUGGACCUGAGACGACUGGCCCCAACAUGGUUGUUGACAUGUGUAAGGGAGUGCAGUAUCUGAAUGAAAUCAAGGACUCUGUUGUGGCUGGGUUCCAAUGGGCAUCGAAAGAAGGUGCUCUGGCUGAGGAGAACAUGCGUGGCAUUUGCUUUGAGGUCUGUGAUGUUGUUCUGCACACUGAUGCUAUUCACAGGGGUGGUGGUCAGGUCAUCCCAACAGCCAGGAGGGUCAUUUACGCUUCUCAGCUCACUGCCAAGCCAAGGCUGCUGGAGCCUGUGUACCUGGUUGAGAUCCAGGCCCCGGAGAAUGCACUUGGCGGUAUCUAUGGUGUUCUGAAUCAGAAGAGAGGGCACGUGUUUGAGGAGAUGCAGAGGCCUGGUACCCCGCUGUACAACAUCAAGGCUUACCUCCCGGUCAUCGAGUCGUUUGGGUUCUCAAGUACCCUCAGGGCGGCGACAUCUGGCCAGGCUUUCCCCCAGUGUGUGUUCGACCAUUGGGACAUCAUGUCUUCUGAUCCUUUGGAGGCCGGCUCCCAGUCCGCGACCCUUGUCACAGAGAUCCGCAAGCGCAAGGGUCUCAAGGAACAGAUGACCCCUCUAUCUGAUUUCGAGGACAAGCUCUAAACUUUUGCUUCUGUUACAUGGUCUAGUUUGCUUUUGCUGCUAAGAGAGCUGCACUAUUAUCUGUCUAUUGAGUCGUCGUCGCUGUAUUGCUAUUGGAAUGUACUCCUAUCUGUCGUGAUACUGGCACUUUGUUUUGAUGUCUGUCGAUGUUAAAACUUAGAUUAUAUAUCUGUCGCGAUACUUUUGAUGUCUAUCAAUGUUAAAACUUAGACUAUAUAUCUGUUAUGGUAGUUCUUGUUGAUGUCUUGUUUGCUUUUGUGUUAGAUCUUGAGAUCUCUGCCUGGUUCUUUAUUUUGCUCUAGUCUUGCUCUAUAUUUUUAAUGAUCUUGAGAGCUCCUCUACUUGCAGUAUUUCUUCCUGCUCUUAUCAUCAUUUUACCUUCCAUGUUUUAUGCCCAUCAAAAUGUGUUCCAUCUUCUGUCAGUUGUAUUUCAAUCUAUGCUGUACUUGUUUUUCUCCAUUUUCACGAGACACGCACUGAUGAUGAGAAAUUGCUCCCUAGUGCUAGAUACAUCUGUUGAGCAAACAACAUUUCAGACGGAGGAUGUAGUACAUUAGAGGAACUUGCCGAGAGAAUAUACUGUAGUAGAAGCAUCUGUUAAUGCCGAGAGUAUCCGAACUUGUAUCUCUUCGGAAUACUACAGAUUGAACCUUUGUAGGCAUGAAAGAAUAUUCACAUAAUUUUCAUGCUCAGUAACUCUCUUACUCCACGGUCAUAGCAAUAUUGAGUUCUGAAGUUGUUCAUGGUAAAUUCUGGCAUAUAAUUGAUUUGUCUGCUAUUUCUUUACUGUUACUGGAUGCAAUGUACUGAGUAGUUGUACACGGGCUCUAUGUAAUUAUGACACUUGCAAAUAAGCUUCAACCUUUUAAUUUUUGCUGAAACAUAGGCAUGCCAUUUAAUGACUUGUUUUCAUGACCAACUUUGCCACAAUUAAGCUUAGGCAAAGAGUGGCUAACAAAAUGUUUACUACAAGUGUGGCAAGAUUUGGCAAAAAAUUUGAGCCUAUGACAUGUGGAUCAUAUAGCUAGAAAAGUGUGGCAGCUAAGUGUGGCAAUAAACUAAAUACAUGCCUAAGAUGUUGUGGCACGACUAAGGUUAGACGCGGAAACCUUACGCUGCAAAUCAAACAUACCUUAACUAAAAUAAAGUGAUCUCAGGUUUCUUAAUUUGGACACGAUGUUCAUAAAUACAAAUAAUACUCUCUCCGUAUCUAAUACUAAAACGUGACUUGAUACAUCCGUAUUUAGACAAAUCUAAGACAAGAAUUUUGGGACGGGGGAGUAGAUGAUUGGCUUUGGUCAGUGUGUUCUGGCCGCUUUAUGGAUGCUUACUUUUAUCUUUUAUGAAAUUUCAAUACUUUUCAAAAGACAAGACAGACUUUUAAUUGCCAACAAAAAUAGUACGGGAAAAUAGGGCUGAGGCUCGUCCAUCAAAUUCUCCGCUAAAAGGGAAAAUAUAAAGUGGCGGAGCUAACAAUAAUUUUGAUUGAUUGCAUUCAUCUUUGGAUGAAAGCUUAGUUUGAGCAUGAUUCUCCAAAAAUAUUACCUAAAUGAUAAGCUUAAAAUCCGUAGCCUCCUAUUCACCAUCUCUAGUCAAUCAUGUCGAUCAUUUCAAUGGAUAUUAGAGUUAUGGAUCUUUAUUACGGCUUACCGCCUAAAGAGAAUAAGGUCGAUGCCGGGAAAUCCACCGGUGGUGCCCCUAUGGUACAUGGUGAGCUUCCCGUCACCACACAACUGUUGCCUUGACCAUGGUGGACUUUACGUUAAUGUUGGAUUUUUAAGUCCGCCAUGAUAAAAGAAGUUCAUUCCAUUUUCAAGGAAGAGGUGGGCUCGAAAGUCAAAGCCUCUACAUCCGCACAAUCCUCAUUUGCUCCAAGUGAGGUUCGUGAUGUGGACGAUGUAAGAGAACAUCUUGCUCUCCCCGAACCUACAAUUGCACCCCUCGCAAUUCCAUAGAGUGCCACUACACACUAUGACCUAUCCAACAUCCGGAUAUUAAUCAUGUUGGGCCUCCGCCCCCUUUGAAAGCUAACACAUUUUCUAAGCGGAAACUCACUCUGGAGUCUCACAUUUACAGUGCCUCUACACAACUCUCAUGGGUGAUUGCGAAUGGUUUCAAGCCCAAGGACCCAUCAAGCCUUACACCAAGGGAAGCCGUUGAUGAUCGAUUCAUUACCACCGCCUUCAACAUGCUCCGGCUUGCCACCACCGAUGAGUAUGCCAAUUCCAUUGCUAUCUUCAAGCCCCCCAAAGAAAUUUGAGAUUGCAUUGAGGAUAUAUUUGAAGGACAUGACAAUGUUCAGAGAUCUAGGUUGGUCAUUGUUCGUCAAUUUGUCCAUAAGGAAUGUGAGAGAGACCACUGAAGAGGUGUUCUGGAGAUUGAAGUCACUUGUGUUGGAUUCGAGAAACUUUUGGAGCCAUGGUCUUUACGAAUCAUACUAUGAUCAUGAUGAUCCACCAACAUCCCGACUAUGACCGAAUGACUCCCAAUCGAGUUGUGUCUUCUUUUGGAGAUCAAGUCCAAGAACACAAUGGCGAUUGAUCAAGAAAUAAAGAACUCCAAUCUAGCGCUAAAGGCCAAGAAGGUGGUCGGAUGUGCUACGAGAGAAGAAGUUGAUACCUCGUGUCAGGUUGACUUUGAGGAAGACUUGACCCUCUAGGUCAAGAAAUAUUCGGGCACAAAAGCAAAGAAAAGGGGAAGCAUCUUAAGGGAACAUCCUUUGGGAGAAGAACGUGCCACAAUCUUAUUAAUGUUACAUGGAGAAGAUUUCGUUUUGCGAUUGACUUCUCUCUCGCGCCAUCCGCCUCGCGAGCCGUCCGAUCAAGGUUGAUCGUGCUGCACUCAUCGUAUGUCACCCGUCCACCUGGGGCCCAUGCACCACCGUCCGCAUUAUAUCCAGCGCAACAACGAGAGCCACUCGCUCCCCCCCACAUGAGUGAGAUCCCCAUUUUUCCUCUUCAUAUUUGAAUCCCUCUUUGCACGGCCCCGUCGGAGCAGUCGCAAGCGGCAUGUAGCACCUGACGGGGAACCUGCUGCACCCUAGCAGCCGGCGACCCACAGCACCCGCGUCGGCGUUGCCCAGCAUCGUCGACCGUUCCCGUGCCCUAUGUUGCCGAGCAUCGUUGGCCGUUGCUGCGGUCGGUGUUGCCGAGCACGUCUGCGCUCAGCUCUCAUCUUCUUUUUUUUUUGAGGCACGCUCAGCUCUCAUCUGAAAUUCUCACCACGCCUGGACAUCAUCCCUUUCGGCCCGACUCCACAGUGGACAACAGACAGGCCAGCUUCACUUGCGGGCCGCAUUUCGCGUGGCCGGCCUUCCCCCUCCGCUCCGCGCGCAUCUUGGCCCGCACGGAACCAACAAAAUAGCAUAUAUAACGGCCAGCAAAUGCGACCUAGAGAGUCCUCACUUCCUUGAACCCUUUCCAUUCUCACGGAUCGGGAGCGCCGCCGCUUCCCCACCUCUCGUCUCUCGGCGAACCCCCAAGGUGAGCCGAACCUCCCCUCCCGCCUCCUCCCCCGCGCCCUCCGGCUGCUUCUCCGGCUGCUCCGUCGGCGGGCGCGUCCCUGCUAGCUAGCUACUGGCUGCUACCUGGCCGACCGAUUUCACGGGCUCUAGUCCAGCCUCCUCGCUAGCUCGAUGCGGUCCAGUCCCCUUUGCUGGGUUCGUGGCCGCUGGGAUUAUUCCUAUGUGGUUUCGAUGCUCUUAGACGCGGUAGAUCUGCUGCUUCGUUCGUCCCGCUCGCUUGUUCCUGGCGACGACUUUGUGCUGACGUCACUAGAUAGAUAAGCUCGUCGCUUCCGAUGCGCUUCUGCGGUGGCUAAGGGUGUUUGCCCCGUCGUGUUUAGCGAGGAUCUGCCCGCUCCGCCGUGGUGGACGGCGAUCUGUUUUAUGUGGUGUUCCGUUAGCUUUUUUCGCCAUUUUUUGCUGCGCUGCUGUUCAUCCACGGGCUCUUAGCAUGCUCAAGCUGCAGGGUUUUGCUCACUCGGUUGCCUGCCUGCCGUACCCUGGUUGGUUUCGUUCUCUGUUCUCAUGUUCAGGGCGGAGGAAAUGGUGAUGCAUACCUUUGCUUGGCAUGUUUAAUUUAAUUUGAUUGUGUAUAUAGAACGGGAGACUCUUAUAGAAUGGUGUGUCAGUUCUUAUCUACUUAUAGUUGAGGUAUUAUGGGUGAAUUUAUCCCUCAUCUGUUUUAUUUGGUUAAAUUGAUCCUAUGUGACUAUCUUCUGGUGUUCUUCUCAGUGCUCCCCAUGCAUGGUUGGUUGCACCUAUUUCAGAGCUCAACAUUAUGACCUUCUGUGCAUCGCAUUGUUUCUAGUGUUUACAGUGGUAGUUACUACUACAUGAUAAUACAGUCAGCACGUGUGCAUAAAACUAAAACUACCUUCUGUCACAAAUCAACUUUGCAUAAAACUACGAUUCUGUUUCGAAUCUGAUUUGUUUUCUCCAUCCACAUAUGAUUGAUUCAUGAGAGAUGUUUCUAUGAUCCACAAAGUUAUACAGAUCUGUAGGUACUUGAAGGUUUAGCUAGUGAAAUCCAUUACCUGUUUGUGCUUCAUACUUGCGCACACUUCAGAUAAUGGACUGCUUUUCUUUCUUAUCUUUCUUACUGUUUUGUGCUUUCUUUCGCAUACUGUCAUGUCGAGUGCUCUAAAAAUUGGUUGCCAUUGUUGCUUUCUGGCUUCCUUUUGAACGCACUUUGGGCAAUUAAGUUUUCAGAACAUGGUCUUCAGUUCCCAUAAGUUAGUUUUAGUAUGCUUGGUUGACUGUAACACAUAUUUCAUUUUAGUGGGUGUGGUUGUGGAAGUGUUGGUUAAAGUAUUUUUGGUACUGUACUUGAAGCUAAUGUGUGCCCAACAGUAGUAAGAGCCUUCUGUUUAUUCAGUUGUGGUUUUAAUUACUUAAUUUUUGUUCCAUUCUGAACAGGAACUAUAUUCCCAGCGUGAUAUCCAAAACCAGUCAAGAUGGUGAAGUUUACUGCGGAGGAGCUCCGCGGAAUUAUGGACAAGAAAAAUAAUAUUCGUAACAUGUCUGUUAUUGCUCAUGUCGACCACGGUAUGUGCCUGAACAUACAGUUGUCUCUAAUUAUUGAGUUCAUACAGUAGAAUCUUUGUUAAUCAAUGUUUUCAGCCUCUUAAUUUUACUGUAUUUAAUUCUAAAUACUGAAACUAUUUAAAUGGGUCAAUUUAACAAGUGGAGCAUAAUUAGUUUCAUCCCUAAAACCAAUCCAUCUUAUUGUGUCCUGGAGUUUACUACCACUGCUUAUUAUAUGAUUGAUUUCUGCUUCACCAAUAUGACUGAUUUCUGCUUCACCAAGCUUAAAUGUUACUGUUGACAUACCAUCCCAGGGCUUAUAUCUCCCCAGUUUGGUGUAUUCUCACAUUGUCCCUGAAUGCAUUACACUUGUAGGAUCUGAAAUUUACAUGAUUGUACUUAGUUACUUCAAUAUUGAUGUCCUUAUAUUCUGUUUGCAAUGUCCCACUAGAUUUUGCUUAACCAUGUUGCUAAAAACCUUGUUGAGCUUAUUUGUACCUUCUUUUGUUUCCUGAUUGUUUGAAAGUACUGUACUGCUGUGUCCUACUUCUGCCUUAUAUGAGUUAACAUGUUCGAUUUUCUAUUCAUAUAGGUUGUGUUCAACUGUCAAACCAGAUGCUUGUGCACUGUUCUCACAUAUUAUUUACAUAUUUGCAGGCAAGUCUACGCUUACGGAUUCCCUUGUGGCAGCUGCUGGGAUUAUCGCCCAGGAAGUUGCUGGGGAUGUUCGCAUGACCGAUACCCGUGCAGAUGAGGCAGAGCGUGGUAUUACAAUCAAAUCCACGGGUAUCUCUCUUUUCUAUCAGAUGACUCCUGAAUCACUUGAGAUGUACAAGGGCGACAGGGAUGGAGAUGAAUACCUGAUCAACCUUAUUGAUUCACCUGGCCACGUUGACUUUUCUUCGGAAGUCACAGCUGCUCUUCGUAUCACUGAUGGUGCUUUGGUGGUUGUUGACUGUAUUGAGGGUGUCUGUGUGCAGACCGAAACUGUGCUGCGCCAAGCUCUUGGUGAGAGGAUUAGGCCCGUCCUCACCGUGAACAAGAUGGACAGAUGCUUCCUUGAGCUUCAGUUUGAAGGUGAGGAAGCAUAUCAGACUUUCUCCCGUGUCAUCGAAAAUGCCAAUGUCAUCAUGGCAACAUAUGAAGAUGUGCUCCUUGGUGAUGUCCAAGUGUACCCAGAAAAGGGGACUGUUGCAUUCUCUGCUGGUUUGCAUGGGUGGGCUUUCACCCUUACAAACUUUGCUAAGAUGUAUGCCUCCAAGUUUGGUGUUGAUGAGGUGAAGAUGAUGGAGAGGCUGUGGGGUGAGAACUUCUUUGACCCAGCCACAAAGAAAUGGACCACCAAGAACACUGGGACAGCUACCUGCAAGAGAGGUUUUGUUCAGUUCUGCUAUGAGCCAAUCAAGCAAAUCAUCGCCACCUGCAUGAAUGAUCAGAAGGAUAAGUUGUGGCCUAUGUUGAAGAAGCUUGGUGUGACCAUGAAGAAUGAUGAGAAGGACUUGAUGGGAAAGGCUCUCAUGAAGCGUGUGAUGCAGACUUGGCUGC
rnacentral:lncRNA from 1 species